AUUUGAGUAGUUUAUUAAAACAUUAGUUUGUGGAGCUGAGAAUAUAAUUUUUUAUCUUAAAUA
rnacentral:tRNA from 1 species